AUUCUUUUUAUUCAGUUGAAAUUGUAUUCUUCAUUCUGCCUACCCCAGGAGUAGCACAAAAUGGCUUUGAUUGUUCCCUACUGCCAUUUUGUAAUUGCUCUUUUUCAAGUUCGAUAUCUACUCGUUCUUCCAAUAAAGACAUAGGAUGAAUCUCCAUUUGGACUCAAUGAUGUUAAUGUUGCUGCUCCUGUACUACAGUGAAUUGCCUUCAGGUGACACUUCACCACCAAUGGAUAAGAUCCUUGGAGCCCCAUGAAUCUUACCAGUAAAGAGGAUCCAGAGGUUCACAAGAUGAAAUGACAUAAUGUGUCGAAAACAUUGAUCUUGAAGAGACAUUUGAAAUCAUCUAAUAUAGAUCCUUUAUGUUACAGAUAAAGAAUAUAUGGUAAUUUUGUUUACUAAAUAACU